CAAACUCUGGAGCUGGCUCUUAUCGGCCGUGUAGUUCACAUUUAAAUCCAUGAACACAGACAUGAUGCUGCCUGUUAGCCUCCGCUCUCUGCCACGAGAGUUUGAGUUUCCUGUCGGAAGUUACGCAAAGUCUCGCAAAAUCUCGCAAAAUCUAGGCUAAUAUAAUAAUAUAAUUACCACACUGACACACACAUACACACAUACACACAUACAUACAUACAUAUGUUAUAUUGUUUCUCUGGAUCAUUACUUUGAGUACGUGUCUAAAAAUGUUGGUGGAAUGUUUUUUUUCCAAUAAAGUUUUUUUGGGGGGAGCAACAACAAAAAAAGGACUUUCUGCUUGAAGGAGAGAAGUAGCUGCAGUCUUUGUGCUAAGCUAGGCUAACAGCGGCGGCCAUGUUGAGAGCUGUGAGGACCCUGGCCCCUCUGACCCGCUGCUGCUCCAGCUUCGUCUCCAGGAUGAGGUCCAGUAUUUUGGGCUUUUUCAUCUUUUCUU